rnacentral:SRP_RNA from 1 species
GGCCAGGUCCCACGCAAUAGCGCCUUACCGAACCCCGCCAGGUCCGGAAGGAAGCAACGGUAGGUAAUCAGCCUAUGUGCCGUGGGGGUGCCUGGCUUUA